UUGAAGCCCCAGUAAACGGCGGCCGUAACAAUAACGGUCCUAAGGUAGCGAAAUUCCUUGUCGGGUAAGUUCCGACCUGCACGAAUGGCGUAACGAUGGGGGCGCUGUCUCUACCCGAGACUCAGUGAAAUUGAAAUCGCCGUGAAGAUGCGGUGUAUCCGCGGCUAGACGGAAAGACCCCGUGAACCUUUACUAUAGCUUCACAGUGGACUCUGAUAUUACUUGUGUAGGAUAGCUGGGAGGCUUUGAAACCUGGGCGCCAGCUCAGGUGGAGCCAAUCUUGAAAUACCAGCCUGGUACUAUUGGGGUUCUAACUCUGGACCAUUAUCUGGUUCGAGGACAUUGUGUGGUGGGUAGUUUGACUGGGGCGGUCUCCUCCCAAAGUGUAACGGAGGAGCACGAAGGUGCGCUAAUCACGGUCGGAAAUCGUGAGGUUAGUGUAAUGGCACAAGCGCGCUUAACUGCGAGACUGACAAGUCGAGCAGGUACGAAAGUAGGUCAUAGUGAUCCGGUGGUUCUGUAUGGAAGGGCCAUCGCUCAACGGAUAAAAGGUACUCCGGGGAUAACAGGCUGAUACCGCCCA
rnacentral:rRNA from 1 species